rnacentral:rRNA from 1 species
CCUACGGGUGGCAGCAGCAAGGAAUCUUCCGCAAUGGGCGCAAGCCUGACGGAGCGACGCCGCGUGGGGGAGGACGCCCUUCGGGGUGUAAACCCCUUUUCUCGGGGAAGAACCUAGACGGUACCCGAGGAAGAAGGACCGGCAAACUACGUGCCAGCAGCCGCGGUAAUACGUAGGGUCCGAGCGUUGUCCGGAGUUACUGGGCGUAAAGCGCGCGCAGGCGGUCCCGCGCGCCCGGCGUGAAAGCCCCCGGCUCAACCGGGGAGGGUCGUCGGGGACGGCGGGACUUGAGGGCGGUAGGGGCCGGUGGAAUCCCUGGUGUAGUGGUGAAAUGCGUAGAGAUCAGGGGGAACACCCGUGGCGAAGGCGGCCGGCUGGGCCGACCCUGACGCUGAGGCGCGAAGGCGUGGGGAGCGAACGGGAUUAGAUACCCCAGUAGU